GGCAAUUUCUGCAUUGACUUUAUACAUUUCUGUAGUCUUUAGAUUUUUUUUUUCAGUAAGCAAAUACCACUUUUGUUUGUAGGAAGCACAGUAAGAGACAAAAACACAGAAGACAGUGGGGAAAUGUGCCCUUCCCCUUCAGAGAGGAAAUGAGGCCCUGACCUGCACAGAUGCCUCCCUGUUUGCUAGCCCACGGACAGUCUGCACGGAUCAGCAUUCUGCAGCAGCAGUCUGGGAGACAAGAGGGUGCAGCACCACUGUCACUGGCAUGGGCUACAGACUCCAAGAAACCUACAUCUGAAGCCUCGUCCAUGAUUUGAUAUUUUUGAAGUCCUUUUGAGCCCUUGUUUGUUCUUUGAUGACACAAGACCUACUCCCUGAAUCGAGGAAUAAAUAAGAUAUGCUGGGGGGAAUGUACCUGGUAUAGCAUGUGCUCAAUAAAAGGUAGGAGGAAGAGGAAGUCAAAGAGAGAGAAUUAUCAUUAGCCUUGAGAAAUGGGUGCCCCCAUAGGGUAGUCCCUGGCAUUUUAAAUGCUACCAUUGGUACUUUACUCCUUUUUUCUUUUCUCAAUGUCACAUCCCAAAUCGACAUUCACUGAGCUCCUGGUAAAGAAGGAAGGCAGAGUUCAUAAACAAGAGUGAGCUAUAUAUGGAUCCUGCCUUCAAAAGAGCAAGCUGGUGUUAUAGAUGGGAGGGAGGAUGUCCAAGACACACUUCAAAAUGCUGCACAUUGAUCAAUGGGAAAAAUGGAUCUGCAGUUCCUACCACUGGUAAGGGGAAAAGGAAGUGGAGUGGGGCAACUUUACUUAGGGAAGACCAGAGUUCAUGGCUAGGUGAUCAGAAAAGAAACUUCCUUGCAAAAUAGAUCCUACAGAGCAUGGAGGUGCAGCUUCGAGGUAGAUCACGCUAACUUGCCUAAUUAUGCAGAAGGUCCUGUACCACAAUAAUAACAACAACAACAAUAACAGAUGGCACAAAAAUCAUGGCAAAAGUUGGGGUACAUGUCCGAAUAAAAGAAUGGCAGGAGAUGGUGAAGAAGGCACCCUCUGCUCUGGACAUGGUGAGACUGAAUGCUCCCACAUCCGAGAAUUGGAGCCUUGGAUAGAGAGGAAGACAGAGGAAAUCUGACCACCCACGCCACCACCUGCCCUGACCUCUCACCCUGAAGCCUCAGGAAAGGGAAAAUCAAUGGGCUCCCGAAGUGCAGGAGCCCAGGGUUUGGGACUGGAAUUUGCCCCAUGCAGAGUGUUUACUGAUCUAGAGACCAGAUAGGUUCAAUGAGCUCAUCCUUAUCUUGAGAGGAAAUUAGGGAGCUCAGACUAAGACAAAGCCACAUUUUAUUCAAUGAAAAUUUACCCCUCCACCCCCCCCCACACACACACACACUACACACAAUGUCACAGAAAACAUCUACUUGAGGAACUUUGUCUCUAAAGUUUGGUUCUAAAAAAAAAAAAAAAUCAAGGAAUUGGAAAUGGUGAGCUUACAGAAAGCCAGAAAAGUUAUUCCGGAAUCUUUUCCAUUCACCCCCCAUGCAGAUCUAUAUCCUUUUUUUUUUCCCCUACAGUUUGCAAAUAUUGACUAAGUUCAAGGGCAGAGGCUUAAGGUCUAACUUCAGAGUUAGCAUGAGGUGAAAUGCUUAAGAUGGUGCAAUACUGUGCUAAUGAAGAACAUAUUAGAUCCCAAGGUUAGUUAUGGGCAGUUCUUGUCCCCUGACCCAGUUGAUAUUUGUUUUAUCAAGUCAGGGACUAUUUUUGUCAUCAUUGUUAAUCUUCCUCUUGCCAGAUCUGUUUUGGCCGAGGGCAUGCACUUGAGGUAUGUUAGAAGAAUGGAGUGCAGUAUUGUGGGAAAGAAUUAUUGCUAAUUCUGUCUGCCUACAGCUUCCUCAGUCCUAUUUGUCUGAUCUUAACUCACUGAGCAAGAUUAGAGAUGGAAAAUACUGGAAGAGAGUGACCUUGUUCCAGGAAGUAGAUUUUUAACCAAAAGAUCAAGACAGCAGCAGCAUUCCCAUUAAGACGGCAGGUCUUCGUUGUCUUGGAAAGGUUUUGAAUUGCCCAUCAGGGGAGCUCUUGAUGGAGUAUUUUGCCAAAAAAGAAGUUUAUUUCUUCAUGCAUAAGUCCAGUCUAUUGAGACUUAUCUUUGGCCUCCACAUUACCAAGGUCUUGUAUCAAGGAUUCUGGAGACCUGGCCUAAGAUCUCUGGUAGUUCUAGCUGGAAUUCUAAAUGAGCUGGCAUUUCUGACCCAUGAACUUUGGAGUUAAACCAACCCUGGUUCAAAUCUUCAUUUCCCUAUGCCUCAGUUUCUCCAGGUGUGAACAUACUCAUAGCAACGUUCUCCUUGCAAGAUUGUUAUGAGGAUCAACGUGGUAUUGUAUCUGAAAGCAUUCAACACAGUGCCUGUUGCUUCAAAUGGGAUUAAUACAUUUUAGUCUCCUUCCUUCCGCUCAGCCACUCCAGCUGCUGGUGUAUCUCCUUUCUCUGCUGCAUACAUUUGACAUAGUGGAACCAGGCCAGUAACACUUGAGGGGAUGCUGUCCUCAUAAGAAUGAAGAGAGAAAAAGAAAAGUUUCAAACAAUGUUCGGGAUAGCAAGACCCGCUUUUAAAUGAGCUGAAUAUGAACCCUGUGAGCCCCACUGAUGUUUGAAAGAGGUUAAUAUAAAAAUAGAUUUCUAAAAAUCUGAUAAUCAUAGAGUUCAUCAUAUUCUUCUUUUGGAUAUUAAUGAUGUGACUCAGUUAUUCAAGGAACUGAUAAACCCCCUGGGUAGUCGGUUGAAGGAAGAUGAUGUUCUUUUAGACUCAGCAGCCUACCCAGAGUUCUCCCCACUGACACCUCUUGUUUGAGGAUAAUACAUCUAAGAAUUCUAGUAAGUCUUAGCCACUUCCUCUCUUGAGCAUCAUGAGAAUGGUAGAAAUCCACCAAGCUGUAUCCUCCUCUUGGGCAUCCUGAGUUUUCUCAGUUGUCUCAAAACAACUUGCUUCCUAAUGUUAAAUAAAAUGGCCAUUUACAAAGGAGAUAGUCAAAGGUGUAUUUUACAUAAGCCAAUAUUAAAAGAUUCUGAUGGCAGUGAUUACUCUCAUAUUCGAUACAGGAAAUUCUCCAGUGUAUCCUAACUGGUCACAGGGAAAAUUUGUUUGAGCAACACAACACUGCAAGUGUCUUUAUGUUUGAUUUUGGAAAUCAAACGCACCAAACUUUCAAGAAAAUGGCAUAUUAAGACCUUCUGUCUGGUCUCUGUUUCUCUGCUCUUGGCACUUCCCAAUACUAUUAGAGCCAGAUCAGAGGGAGAAAUGGGAAAAGGUCAUCUAGGAUACUUAAUAAAUAUUAAAAUAGUUAAUGUAUAUUUCAAUCCAUUUUUUUAUGUGUUAACAAUAAAAAAUUAGAACAUACAGUAGAAAUGAAAUAGUGAUCAAACCUACAAGUAUUUAAAAUAAUGUUAUAAAACUAAUCUGUAAAGGUGUAAAGAAAACCUACAAGUAUAGGAAAUAAUAAUAACAAUAAUAAUAGCAACUAGAAUUUAUUUUCUUUUAAUGUGCCAAGAAUUGUCCAAUAUUUUUACUUACAUGAUUUGUUUAGUUUUCCUUGGAAAUGUUAUAAGACAUUUAAAAUUAUUAUCCUCAUUAUUUGAAAAAGGAAACUGGGACACAUCGAGGUAAGGUAAUGUUUUGAAUGGGAAGAUCCAAAAUAAUAAAUGUGUUUAUUUUAUCUAAUUUAUUCAAUAACUUUAUCGGUAAAUUAAUGUAAUAAAUUUACUCUAUAAAUUAAUGAAAUUUCAAUCAAAUUUCAGAGGACUGUUUUUGGAACUUAAACUAUUUUAAAGUUUAUAUAGAAAAGAAAAUCCUUUAAAAACUAAACUAAGUGAAGAAAAUCAAAGUUAGAUUCCCUCAUGACAUGCAAAAAUAAAUUCUUGGCAGACUAACAGUUAAAAAUACAUUCUCAGACACAGACACACAUACAUAUGUGUACACAUACAUGUAUAUGACACACACAGGAAUAUUCUGGAAAACUAUAGUCUGGUACCUUUUUAAGCAACGCAAAAUCCAGAAGCCACAAAAAAAUGAAAUCAAAGUAGUUACAUUUCAGCAACAAUAAAAACUAAGCAUGG
rnacentral:lncRNA from 1 species